rnacentral:tRNA from 1 species
GCCGGAAUAGCUCAGUUGGGAGAGCGUUAGACUGAAGUUGUUUACGCAACAAUCAGGCCCCCGGUUCAAUCCCGGGUUCCGGCA